UAUCUCUGUAGAGUCUGCAUAUCAAUAAGCGGAGGAAAAGAAACUAACUAGGAUUCCCUCAGUAACGGCGAGUGAAGCGGGAAGAGCUCAAAUUUGAAAUCUUCAAGGUUCUACCUUGACGAAUUGUAGUUUAAAGAAGUGUUUUCUGUUGGAGUUUUGGUAAAAGUUCUUUGGAAUAGGACAUCAUAGAGGGUGAGAAUCCCGUAUUUGACCAUUAUUUCCAGCUUUGUGAUACACUUUCAAAGAGUCGGAUUGUUUGGGAAUGCAGUCCAAAAUGGGUGGUAAAUUUCAUCUAAAGCUAAAUAUUGGCGAGAGACCGAUAGCGAACAAGUACCGUGAGGGAAAGAUGAAAAGAACUUUGAAAAGAGAGUUAAACAGUACGUGAAAUUGUCAAAAGGGAAGCGCUUGACACCAGUGUUGUUUUUCUGAAAAUCAAUUAAAGAACUGUUUAUGCUAAGUUGUUUAGACUUUAUCAGCUAACUGUUUAGUUUUGAGCUUUUCUUUAAUGCACUUUUCAGUUAACAAGUCAACAUCAAUUUCUUCUGCUGUAAAAAAGCUUGAGGAAGGUGGCUUGAGAUUCGUCUUAAGUGUUUAUAGCCUCUUGCCUAUGUAGUCGGAGAGAUUGAGGUCUGCAGCGUAGAUCCUUCGGGGCUAAAUGCAUUUGUGCUAAGUUAUAGCAUUUUAUAGACAACUUGUUGACUAUGAUUUGUCUUGUAGCUUACUCGCUUAUGUUAUUUUACCUACGCUUAGGAUGUUGACGAUCAGCUGAGCGCG
rnacentral:rRNA from 1 species